rnacentral:rRNA from 1 species
UACGUAGGGUGCGAGCGUUGUCCGGAAUUAUUGGGCGUAAAGGGCUCGUAGGCGGUUUGUCGCGUCGGGAGUGAAAACCCAGGGCUUAACUCUGGGCUUGCUUUCGAUACGGGCAGACUAGAGGUAUGCAGGGGAGAACGGAAUUCCUGGUGUAGCGGUGAAAUGCGCAGAUAUCAGGAGGAACACCGGUGGCGAAGGCGG